rnacentral:rRNA from 1 species
UACGUAGGGGGCAAGCGUUGUCCGGAAUCAUUGGGCGUAAAGAGCGUGUAGGCGGCCCGAUAAGUCCGCUGUGAAAGUCCAGGGCUCAACCCUGGGAUGCCGGUGGAUACUGUCGGGCUCGAGUCCGGAAGAGGAGUGUGGAAUUCCGUGGUGUAGCGGUGAAAUUCGUAGAUAUUGGGGAAGAACACCGGAUGGCGAAGGCAGCCAUCUGGACCGACACUGACGCUGAGGCGCGAAAGCGUGGGGAGCAACAGGG